rnacentral:rRNA from 1 species
AUUGAACGCUGGCGGCAGGCCUAACACAUGCAAGUCGAGCGGAUGAAGGGAGCUUGCUCCUGGAUUCAGCGGCGGACGGGUGAGUAAUGCCUAGGAAUCUGCCUGGUAGUGGGGGAUAACGUCCGGAAACGGGCGCUAAUACCGCAUACGUCCUGAGGGAGAAAGUGGGGGAUCCUCGGACCUCCCGCUAUCAGAUGAGCCUAGGUCGGAUUAGCUAGUUGGUGGGGUAAAGGCCUACCAAGGCGACGAUCCGUAACUGGUCUGAGAGGAUGAUCAGUCACACUGGAACUGAGACACGGUCCAGACUCCUACGGGAGGCAGCAGUGGGGAAUAUUGGACAAUGGGCGAAAGCCUGAUCCAGCCAUGCCGCGUGUGUGAAGAAGGUCUUCGGAUUGUAAAGCACUUUAAGUUGGGAGGAAGGGCAGUAAGUUAAUACCUUGCUGUUUUGACGUUACCAACAGAAUAAGCACCGGCUAACUUCGUG